GUCCCUGUUGAGCCUCUAAACUGGUUUCUUUGCAACAAAAGCCUUUCCACCAGUUCCUGGUUGGCCGGCUGAGCGCAGGUGUGGUGCAUCCGGGGCAAGCACACGUUUCUGGGGCCCCAGUGAUGCCUCUGCUUCUCCCGCCCUGCAGGGCGUCCCAGAGGACCUGCUGUUCUUCUACGAGCACCUCAGGAAGGGCGGCGGCGUCAUCCGCGUGGACCAGAGUCUCCUGCUUUAUCGCCACCACCCACAGGCAGCCACGCACUCCAUCCUCGAAUCUGGGCAGACAGUUCCCUCCUUAGAACUGUGAGGACACAGAGGUCUCGGCCACCUGCCUGCCGCGUGCCGCAGCGUUAAGUGGAAUGCAGGCCGCUGUCCGGGGCUUGCAUCUCGGCCCCUACGGGACGACCAUCUGGACCCACCGCGUCCGCUUCCUGGAAGAGCGGGCCCUGCCCCGCUGGGCGGCCUUCACCAUCUGGAAUGCCGGCAAGCAGGGGCGCCGGCUGUACCGCAGCUUGACCGCCACCAGCAAGCGCAAGGUGGUGGCGUUCUGUGACGUGGACGAGAACAAGAUCAGGAAAGGCUUCUACUGCCACGAGGACUCUGAGGAAAGACCCAAGCCCCGAAUCCCCAUCCUGCACUUCCGAGCCGCCCAGCCACCCUUCGUCAUCUGUGUGAAGCUGGACCUCACAGGGGGCGCCUUUGAGGACAACCUGAGGUCGCUGCACUUGCAGGAGGGCCAGGACUUCCUUCACUUCAGCUGACGGACCCAU
rnacentral:sRNA from 1 species